CGACACUACACUGCAGUUAGAUGUAUGUUUUCCACUGGGAAAACAAGAAGAUAUACAGAAGCUGGAGGACCUCUUGCAGAGUAAAAACACGUGUAAAACUUUGGUGGGAUCAUUAUCAACUAUUGGUGGUGAAAACACGAAAAGUUCAGUAAGGAGACUACUUUCCCACAUGAUCACCACAAAACUAGCAAUAAACAUCAACUGGAUGGGAAAAGGGGGGGGGGAAUUGCCUUCUCUUCACUGAAAUUACAGGAAAUAUUGAAAGAAACAGUGAGGAAGAAUCGCCUCUGUGCUAAUGCAACAGAUCUAGACGUGGAAAUUUUCAACGUGACAAAAGACUGGUUUCGCUUUGCUUGUGAUAGAGAUGGGGGACGAAGGAGAAGGGCAGAGGAAAAGAAACUUCAAAUUCAAAUUCAAGCGGAACAGAAUGAGAGUGAGCUUGAGGAUGAGACCAAUAAAUAAAUAGAUUCUUUGUAACACGCGUAUUACCGCUCUCAAUACUUACAUGUAAUAGAA